GAAAGAUUUAUCGCUUUAAGAUUGGCCCGCGGAAGAUUAGGUAGUUGGUGGGGUAAAGGCCUACCAAGCCGACGAUCUAUAGCUGGUCUGAGAGGACGAACAGCCACAUUGGAACUGAGACACGGUCCAGACUCCUACGGGAGGCAGCAGUGAGGAAUAUUGGGCAAUGGAGGAAACUCUGACCCAGCCAUGCCGCGUGAGUGAAGAAGGUUUUCGAAUUGUAAAGCUCUUUCGGAUGUGAAGAUGAUGACGGUAACAUCUAAAGAAGCCCCGGCAAACUUCGUGCCAGCAGCCGCGGUAAUACGAAGGGGGCAAGCGUUGUUCGGAAUUACUGGGCGUAAAGGGUGUGUAGGCGGGAAAGUAAGAUAGUGGUGAAAUGCCUGAGCUCAACUUGGCAACUGCCAUUAUAACUAUUUUUCUAGAGUGACAGAGAGGAUAUUGGAAUACCCAGUGUAGAGGUGAAAUUCGUAGAUAUUGGGUAGAACACCGGAGGCGAAGGCGAGUAUCUGGCUGUCAACUGACGCUGAGGCACGAGAGCAUGGGGAUCAAACAGGAUUAGAUACCCUGGUAGUCCAU
rnacentral:rRNA from 1 species